CCUACGGGAGGCAGCAGUGGGGAAUAUUGCACAAUGGGGGAAACCCUGAUGCAGCGACGCCGCGUGAAGGAUGAAGUAUUUCGGUAUGUAAACUUCUAUCAGCAGGGAAGAAAAUGACGGUACCUGACUAAGAAGCCCCGGCUAACUACGUGCCAGCAGCCGCGGUAAUACUUAGGGGGCAAGCGUUAUCCGGAUUUACUGGGGGUAAAGGGAGCGUAGACGGUAUGGCAAGUCUGAUGUGAAACCCCGGGGCUCAACCCCGGGACUGCAUUGGAAACUGCCGAACUAGAGUGUCGGAGAGGCAAGUGGAAUUCCUAGUGUAGCGGUGAAAUGCGUAGAUAUUAGGAGGAACACCAGUGGCGAAGGCGGCCUGCUGGACGAUGACUGACGUUGAGGCUCGAAAGCGUGGGGAGCAAACAGGAUUAGAUACCCCUGUAGUC
rnacentral:rRNA from 1 species